UUUGCAAUCAGUUCACCAAUUUCUCUAUCUCCAUUAGCUGAUAUUGUUCCAACUUGGGCAAUUUCUUCAGAAGUGCUAAUCAUGCGUGCUCGGCUCUUCAAGUUCGUCACAACAGUAUCAACUGCCAACUUGAUACCACGUCGUAGGUCCAUUGCAUUCAUUCCGGCAGCAACUGAUUUACAACCUUCCGUGAAGAUAGCUCGAGUAAGGACUGUAGCACACGUUGUUCCUGUAAAGCAUACCAAUACAAAAACGGUAAUUCAUAUAAGUAGAUAGGAGACUAACAACACACAAGAAAAAUACGUUCAAAUACGAUGAAAGGGAACCCUUACCAUCACCAGCUACAUCAUUUGUGGCGUUAGCAACCUGUUUGACAAGACUGGCACCAACGUUCUUGACUCUGUCCUUGAACUCAAUGCUCUUGGCAACAGUAACACCAUCCUUUGUCACCUUUGGUGCACCCCAGCUUUGUUCGAUGAUGACAUUACGACCCUUAAAGGAUAAAGAAGUUUAGAAAUGGUUUCAGACUGUUGUAUCAGCCACUGUGGGGGAUAAUAAAUAGACAAUUGAUGAUAACUAUCACUAGGGCUUCACAUUUUCCUUUGGUUAAUGACAGAAACUAUCUGAAGCAUAAGUUAAUACCUUGGGUCCCAUAGUGACUUUAACUGCAUCAGCAAGCUCCUCGACACCUCUAAGCAUUGAAGCCCUAGCCUCAACACCGAACCUUAUGUCUUUUGCUGCAUAAUUCCUAGUAGAAUUGAGCCUGCUUCCAACCUAACAGUACAAAAUCUACAUCUCAAUACAAACCCAAAAACAGCUAAAAUAGUAUAACCAUAUUAAAAAACGAAGAAAAAAUGAACCUGGCUUGUGCAGUUUCUGGCAAUCCUGUUGAAAACAAAGAAGAUAAAUCCCAUCAAUAAAUGACAUCAACUUUGAGAUACAUAGAAAAGGAAGAAGCUUCUGUCAUCGAUGUAAUUAAAGCAAUGAAGAAGAUUUUCUGAGGGCAGAGAAAAAUUCAAUUGAAUGCGAUUUCUGCAAACAAGUUGAUCAAAAAUCGGAAAAUCAGAACUAAACUCAGACAUAUCUUUAUUGAUUCACAUCAGUUUCUCGUAAAUUUUAAUCUCCGAGAAAUCUAUCAGAAAGAAAAUCACAAAAAAACACCAUUCAAAUCGCAUCCACACAAAAAAAAAAAAAAGAUAAGCUGGAUAAAUCUACCUGGCUUUUGAGGCAAUGUUGGUGAGAAGGCGAUACAUAGUGAUAGAUUCUCACUCGACCCGAGAAGAUUAAAAUUGCUUCAGAACAGAUCGAACUAACGAAGCAGAAAACUUGACAAUUUGUAGAGAAGUAGAGAAAUGAAGCAGAGCGAAGAUUCCAGAACUAGCUAAGGGUUUAGGGUUUUACGUUUUCUCCAAGGUCAUUGCUUAAUUGAGUUUUAGCAUUCGAUUUGGAUCUGGCUCGAGUUUUAUGGGCCCUAUAAGGCCCAGUUCAUAUUACAGUGAACAAAGAAAAAAAAUUCCUUCCAGUACACAUGUUUCUGAUUGUCUUGCAAGUAUAAACAAGGUAUGAGAAACAUGUGUUUUAGGCUUUUACAUUCAUUUCACUUUAAGUUCAUUCAUAUUUUGCUCAUUUUUUGUAACAUAAUCAUGCAUAAGUAUCUCAUUUAGCUUUAUGAUUGCAUUCUAGUGUUUUAGGGUUCAAGACUCUGAUCAGAAUCCUCUUCACCACGCGAUUUUAAAACCAAAAUAAGUAGUUCACAACAGUAAUUUAUUUAAUGAUAUUUGCAUUCACUUAUCUGCUAUCAUCUUUUAUAUCGUUCCUUUUUUUUUGGUAGUGUCUUUUAUAUCGUUCCUUCACAAAUGUGCUAUUUUUCUUGUUUGAAAGUAGUCUGCAUCUGAACAGCUAAAUACCGUGUUAACAAGAGAUUAGAGAUUGGGGAUAGUUGGCAAGAACUAGAAUCUCCAUGCGAAACCUGCCUUUAACAUUCCUUGAAUUCUAAACUGAACAAGCUAUGUUUAUAAGGAAACACAAACGACUUGUAUGGAAAAAAUUCCCCGAGUUUUGUUUCCUAAAUUUUUAUUUAUUAAAUCAAUUGAGGAUUGAAAAUCCCGAGAUCAUGGAAAAAUCUGAGUCUCUCUUCUUCCAAUAAUGAUAUAGAAAAAAGAAAAAAAAAAGCAUCAAUUAGUGCCUUGUGGAUGAAUUAACCAUAACAUAGCACAACAGUUUCCAAAGUAACCUAGCUAGGGUUUAUGAUUCUCAUUAGAAACCCAUUCCUCCCAUACCGCCCAUGCCGCCGUCCAUGCCACCGCCCAUAGCCGGAGAUGCUUCCUCUUUCGCUGGAAUCUCAGUCACAACUGCUUCCGUCGUUGUCAACAAAGACGAGACACUAACCAAUAGAAUAAACCAAGAACAAAUAUUAGGAAACCAAACAUUGCAAUAGACUACAAAAUUGACGACAAAUUUUAAAAUCUUAGUGUACCUUGCAGCAUCAACCAAUGCGGUUCUGAUCACUUUCAGAGGGUCGAUGAUACCAGCCUUUACCAUAUCGACGUAUUCUCCUGAAAGUAAAUGCCGACAGAAGUUAGUUAAGUACAAAGUGAAAUAACAAGGUGGACCAAGAGCGAUAUGAAAGCAAAUUUCUCUAUUGCAUAAUAAAAGUGUAACCUUUAGCAGCAUCAUAACCGAGGUCAGGAUUAUCUUGCUCCAAAAGCUUGCCUACGAUAACUGCACCCUCGACUCCAGCGUUGGAAGCAAUCGUGUGAACAGGUGUCUGCAUGAAAGAAAGAUUUGUGUAUAAAAUUUUACACGCGGUUUUUUGUUUAUACGAUGAAAAAUCUGAUGAGAGAAAAACCUUGAGGGCGUUUUGGAUGAUUUGGACACCAAUUUUCUGAUCAAAGUUAGCAGUGGAAAGCUUCUCAAGUUCUUUUGACGCAUACAAAAGAGCAACACCACCACCUGUGUGAAUUUCACACAAAGUAAUGUAAUUUAUUCGUCGCAGGAACUUAUACCAAAGUCUGUCUUAGGGAAUUCAGAUAGUUUUUUACCUGGAACAAUACCCUCUUCUACAGCUGCUUUGGUAGCAUUUAGAGCAUCGGUUACUCUGUCUUUCUUUUCGCCAACUUCAGCCUCACUUGAUCCUCCAAUCUAAAAGUCCAUAUGAAUAUCCCAUCAUUGGCUAUGCAUCAAUAAAUUUUCUGUCCAUCAAAGUGCUCCAACAGAGAUGUUCAUUACCUUUAGUACAGCAACACCACCAGAAAGUUUCGCCAAUCUUUCUUGUAACUUCUCCUUGUCAUAGUCAGACUCGCUUGCUUCAACCAUGGAUCGUAUCUGUGUGAUUUAUUUAGAUUUCAUAAAUAUUAAACAAUUAACAUCCUUAACGAUUGGCAAAAAGAGUCAAGAAACAUAAUGAUUGAGAGGUACAAAACCAACCUGUUCACAUCGUUCCCCAAUUGAUUUCUUGUCACCAGCCCCAUCAAGAAAAACAGUGUCGUCUUUGGAUACAGUUAUCUGUUCACAAAAGAAAACAUGUGAUAUAGAAUGUAACUACAGGUAAAUGGGAAAAUGAGAAUAUGCCAAUAGGAAUUGGUCCAGCCAAACGAACCUUUUUGCAGUUUCCAAACAUACUGAGGUCGACUUUCUCAAGAUUCAAACCCAACUCUUCUGUUAUUACCUAUAAAUUGAAUUCAACAAAAGAACAUUAUAGCUCAUGCAAUUAGUGUGAGUGUGAUUGUCUUGGCAGCUAGUAAAAUAGGAAUUUGGGCUUGCCUGGGCUCCGGUGAGGAUAGCUAGAUCAUGUAAAUUGGCUUUUCGGUUUUCUCCAAAGCCAGGGGCCUUCACAGCACAGACCUAUAAUAUGAUAGCAUUUACAUCAAUCCAAGCAAAUUCCAGAUCUAAUAGGAAUUAGUAAAAAAAAAGCAUAUAACAAGAUGAUGAAAAAAAAAACCUUGAUUCCAGCACGAAGUUUGUUCAGAAUUAGCACGGCAAGAGCAUCGCUCUCCAAAUCCUCCGCAACGAUCAGCAGCGGCCUUUGCUUCUGAAAAAGGGCAGAUAGAAGUCUCGAUCUUCAGAUACAAAGUAACUUAUUAAAUAUCAGCAGACAUUUCAAGAAAUCACCAAAUUGUUUGUACCUUGAGGGCCAGUUCUAAGACUUUCACCAUAGCAUUUAAAUUGGAAAUUUUCUUCUCGUGGAUUAGAAUGAGAGGAUCAUCUAGUUCCUGAAAACCAUAUCAAUGCAGAAGAUAUCAAAUGCGAAGUUCCUCUAAACUGAUAAAGCAACAAUUUGGGAAUCCGUACACAUUUUUGGUUUUUCUGGUUAGUUAUGAAGUAUGGGGAGAUGUAUCCCCUAUCGAUCUUCAUACCCUCAACAACUUCUAGCUCAUUAUACAAGGUCUUGCCAUCCUGUUUCAAGAGAUGAUAGCAUAAUUCGUCAUAAGAAAUAAGCAAAAUAGUCUAAACAUUUAGGGAUCAAAUUAAACUCACUUGAAUUGUGAUUACUCCCUCUUUGCCGACGCUUUCCAUGGCCUUUGCAAUCAAUUCACCAAUUUCUCUGUCUCCAUUAGCUGAUAUUGUUCCAACUUGGGCAAUUUCUUCAGAAGUGCUAAUCAUGCGUGCUCGGCUCUUCAAGUUCGUCACAACAGUAUCAACUGCCAACUUGAUACCACGUCUUAGGUCCAUUGCAUUCAUUCCGGCAGCAACUGAUUUACAACCUUCCGUGAAGAUAGCUCG
rnacentral:lncRNA from 1 species